rfam:Aedes aegypti strain Liverpool cont1.20438, whole genome shotgun sequence.
GCCGCUGAAGCCGUGAGCCGUGCCUUUCGGAGAAGGCAACACAAGUACUGGGAACCCAAGCGGACGGGAAUAGACCCAUUCUUCCAGGUCAUUGUCGGCGGAAUGGUGUUCUUCUAUGCCAUCAACUACGGCGAACUGAAGCACCACAGGAACUACAA